CACAACUAAGGUUGGCAGCAGGCGCGCAAAUUGCCCAAUAGCAACACAUCGCUGAGGCAGCGAAGAGAAAUAGCAACUUCAUGCGGCCCUGCCGUGUGAAGAUUGCCAUGGACGAUAUCUAAACCUGUCGGUGAGUAUCAAUUGGUGGACAAGUCUGGUGCCAGCAGCCGCGGUAAUUCCAGCUCCAAUAGCGUAUACUAAAGUUGUUGCAGUUAAAAAGCUCGUAGUUGGAUUUCUGUGGGGACGGAGCGGCCGGCCGCACAUCGCGGUUCGAGCUAGCGCUUUCCCUACAUCCUGCCGCGAACCGUGCUACCAUUAGUUUGGUGGCGCUGGGGAUCGGCUCGAUUACUUUGAGAAAAAUAGAGUGUUCAAAGCAGGCCACAUGCCUUGAAUAAGUUAGCAUGGAAUAAUAACUAAGGACUUCGGUUCUAUUUUGUUGGUGUUCGGGACUGAAGUAAUGAUUGAUAGGGACAGUUGGGGCGGUCUGUAUUCCAAAGCGAGAGGUGAAAUUCUUAGACCUUCGGAAGACAAACAGCUGCGAAAGCGUUCCGCAAGGAUGUUCCCUUUGAUCAAGAACGAAAGUUGGGGGAUCGAAGACGAUCAGAUACCGUCGUAGUCUCAACUAUAAACUAUACCAGCUAGGGAUCGGCCAACGUUAUUUUAUACCGACUUGGUCGGCACCUUAUGAGAAAUCAAAGCAUCUGGGUUCCGGGGGGAGUAUGGUCGCAAGGCUGAAACUUAAAGGAAUUGACGGAAGGGCACCACCAGCCGUGGAGCCUGUGGCUUAAUUUGACUCAACACGGGAAAACUUACCAGGUCCAGACAUAGUAAGGAUUGACAGAUUGAUAGCUCUUUCUUGAUUCUGUGGGUGGUGGUGCAUGGCCGUUCUUAGUUGGUGGAGUGAUUUGUCUGGUUAAUUCCGUUAACGAACGAGACCCCAGCCUGCUAAAUAGCGCGCGUGAGCUUUGCUCGCGGCGAGCUUCUUAGAGGGACUAUGAUGCGCGAUAGCACAUGGAAGUUUGGGGCAAUAACAGGUCUGUGAUGCCCUUAGAUGUUCUGGGCCGCACACGGGCUACACUGGCGCCUGCAACGAGCAUAUCAGCUGGCCCGAGAGGGUCUUGGCUAAUCUUUUGAACCGGCGCCGUGCUUGGGAUUGACCUUUGCAAUUGUUGGUCAUGCAACGAGGAAUGCCUUGUAAACGCGAGUCAUCAGCUCGCAUUGAAUACGUCCCUGCCCUUUGUACACACCGCCCGUCGCUCCUACCGAUGAAUGUUCCGAUGAAAUUUUCGGAGAGCACCUGUGAACUUGGCUCUGCCUUGCGAACGGGAGGCUCAAAGUCACUUAAAUCUGAACAUUUCGAGG
rnacentral:rRNA from 1 species